GUGCCAGCCGCGCGCGGUAAUACAGGGGGAGCAAGCGUUAUCCGGAAUGAUUGGGCGUAAAGCGUCUGUAGGUGGUUCUUUAAGUCUACUGUCAAAUACGUUGGCUCAACCAACGGCAGGCAGUGGAGUACUAAAGAACUAGAGUGCGGUAGAGGUAGAGGGAAUCCCUAGCGUAACAGUGAAAUGUGUAGAUUUUAGGGAGAACACCAGCGGCGAAGGCGCUCUACUGGGCCGAUACUGACACUGAGAGACGAAAGCUAGAGGAGCUAAUAGGAUUAGAUACCCCUGUAGUCC
rnacentral:rRNA from 1 species